UAGGGAAUCUUCGGCAAUGGACGGAAGUCUGACCGAGCAACGCCGCGUGAGUGAAGAAGGUUUUCGGAUCGUAAAGCUCUGUUGUAAGAGGAGAACGAGUGUGAGAGUGGAAAGUUCACACUGUGACGGUAUCUUACCAGAAAGGGACGGCUAACUACGUGCCAGCAGCCGCGGUAAUACGUAGGUCCCGAGCGUUGUCCGGAUUUAUUGGGCGUAAAGCGAGCGCAGGCGGUUAGAUAAGUCUGAAGUUAAAGGCUGUGGCUUAACCAUAGUACGCUUUGGAAACUGUUUAACUUGAGUGCAAGAGGGGAGAGUGGAAUUCCAUGUGUAGCGGUGAAAUGCGUAGAUAUAUGGAGGAACACCGGUGGCGAAAGCGGCUCUCUGGCUUGUAACUGACGCUGAGGCUCGAAAGCGUGGGGAGCAAACAGGAUUAGAUACCCUGGUAGUCCACGCCGUAAACGAUGAGUGCUAGGUGUUAGACCCUUUCCGGGGUUUAGUGCCGUAGCUAACGCAUUAAGCACUCCGCCUGGGGAGUACGACCGCAAGGUUG
rnacentral:rRNA from 1 species